UAUAUAUAUAGGUCAAUAUUCGUUAUGGGUUUUACUUCUGUUUGUUAUACCGAAGAGUGUUAGAAGGCAUGUUUGGAAACACAUUACAGUGGUUUAAUACAAGUGUUAAUGAUAUUUUGUUAUGGUUUCUGCAAUAGCUACUGAAAUUGUUUCAGUUCAUAUUAGUUAGUACUUAGUAGUGAGCCACUCAUAUACUUUUUUCAAUAAAUCAUUUUCUUGAGAUUCAUUUUGUCACUUCAUGUGUCCAACAAUCCAGAUAAACUCUGCUUUCAGUGCUUUGUAUUGACAACUCAGAGGAAUUUAGAUAGUGUUUUAAAAUGUUUUAGACUGUAUAGAGAAGCAGCACUGUAGAGUAAUCAAUGACUAUGCAAAGCUGUUUGAGUUUUUAUUUCUUAUUUGUGUACUUUUGUUGUUCUUGGAAUUCAAACAGAGCAUGUGAGUUGUGAAUUGUCUUUUCUAAUUUAGUAUUUCAUAUUUCGCAUUGCUUAGGGUUUAGAAUAGGAAUUGCUUUACUACAUAUUUAGCUUUACCAAUGUGUACUGGUUUUGUCAUGCUGCUGUAGAAUAUGUACUCCAAAGUGGAUCUGAUUCUGUUGGUCAUGAACAAACUGAAAUGUCUUGGGACUGCUAUUAGUUUCUUCAAAAUAUUUUUUAAGUUUGAAUUUCUGUACAUAUAUAAUUAAACAUGCUUUCAAUUACUGUCUUCAUAUGCAAGUUCAAUGUUUUACAUUAUGAGAAGGAGAUUUUUUUGGUUUAAAGUAUGAGAAUGUAAGUACAACGUAUUUGGUAAUGUAUGUUUGAAUGUAUGGCAAUACAUUCUAAGAUUUCCAAACUGUGUCCUUACUAUUGAAUUAGUGCUUUCCCUGUGGUAAGAUAAAGAUCUUCAUGCUGAUGCAACUUUAUUUCGCAUCUUUUACAUUGACUCAUUUGCUCUUUUUUCAUAUUUCUUUUGUUUUUUGUUUUUGAUAAUCUCUUCUUAUCGUGUGUUUCCUCCUGUUUUACAAUGAAGGAAUUCGAUCUACAUACUUUUGCUUGGUCGUUCUUAAAAACUUAUUGAUUCUUAUGUAUUCCUAAGGAACUUGAUUGAUGAUCAUUAAUGUUAAUCUUUCCUAGAACUUACCGACUUCUUUUUCUUUUUCUCCAAUUAUAUAUCCCCUCUUGGCUUCUUUGAUCAAACCCUCAGUUUACCCUUCUACCUUCCUAUUGUGCAUUGAAAAAAAACAGUAACUGUGUUUUAUGUUUUCACAGUGAUAGGGAAGCUAACAUUGAACCAGCAAUGUCAUCACAUACGGUGCACAACCCAACAAGCAGAAAACUGACUGAAGCAGCAUGUCAUUGCAACUCUUGCUCCACUUUUUGUUUAGAUAUUACUGGAGCAAGCAAUUUUUUGAUAGGCUAACACGUUUUGUUUAUAUACACCUGGAGCAACUAUAACUACUUUUUGGAAAAUAUUUCAGCAACAACUGUAAAUAAGUAAACCUUGGAUAGCCUUUUUUUUUAAC
rnacentral:lncRNA from 1 species